GGGGGAUAUUGCACAAUGGGGGAAACCCUGAUGCAGCGACGCCGCGUGAAGGAAGAAGUAUCUCGGUAUGUAAACUUCUAUCAGCAGGGAAGAAAAUGACGGUACCUGACCAAGAAGCCCCGGCUAACUACGUGCCAGCAGCCGCGGUAAUACGUAGGGGGCAAGCGUUAUCCGGAUUUACUGGGUGUAAAGGGAGCGUAGGCGGCGACGCAAGUCAGAAGUGAAAGCCCGGGGCUCAACUCCGGGACUGCUUUUGAAACUGCGUUGCUAGAUUGCGGGAGAGGCAAGUGGAAUUCCUAGUGUAGCGGUGAAAUGCGUAGAUAUUAGGAGGAACACCAGUGGCGAAGGCGGCUUGCUGGACCGUGAAUGACGCUGAGGCUCGAAAGCGUGGGGAGCAAAC
rnacentral:rRNA from 1 species